CGAGCCUGGACGCGACCGGGCCCUUUCUCGCGCGCCAGCUCACGCACGCGCGAGUGCGCGCUGCUUCCCUCCCCUUCCCCUCGCGGGAGCCGAGUGACCAAUCCCGAGGCUGCAUACAAAUGACCACGCAGCACGGGGGCGGGGCCUGUUGGUGGUGGCGCGGCGCCGCGGAGGUCAGCCCACCCCCAGCCCCAGCCAGCCAGUCACCACCCUGGAAAGGGUCGCCACUGCUGCGUCAGAGGGGCUCUGAACGCAACCACUGCCUAGAAAAGCGGAGGCCUUGGGGAGUCGCUCACCACAAUGGGUCCUGCUCUUGGGCCCUUUGAGGGGGGCGGGGAGCUAAUGACAGAGGAAUCUCCCCGAGGGCCCUAAAAAGGGGCUUUUGUAGCGGGCUGGCCGGCUUCUGUGGCAGCUUGGGGCAACAUUUCAAAAAUACAGGAAACAAUGAAAGAACACGCUUUUCCUGUUGGAGGCCACCAAGGAGUGCCCACUUCCAUCAACAUCUGGAGACAAACACUGUGCCCUGAAAGCUCCGAUUGCCAAACCAGAGACAAAGGAGAAGCCACCCGCUCCUUUCUAAUACUUCAUCAGAUCCAGAAGGUAGUCUCAGCUGGGCAUGGUGGCUCACGCCUGUAAUCCCAACAGUUUGAGGCCAAGGUGAGAGAAUCACUUGGGCCCAGGAAUUCGAGACCGACCUGGGCAACAUAGUGAGACCCCGUCUCUACAAAAAACAAACAGACUUAGUCGGGUAUGAUGGCAUGUGCCUGUGGUUCAGGCUACUCGGGAGGCUGAGGUGGGAGGAUUGCUUGAACCCAGGAGGUGGAGGUUGCAAUGGGCUGUGAUUGCGCCACUGCAGUCCAGCUUGGCUGACAGAGUGAGACUCUGUCUCAAAAAAAAAAAAAAAAAAGAAUAUAUAUUAUCCUCUGUGUGUAUAUUUACAUGCUUGGGCUGUAAAGUCACCUCAUGGCUUCCCAGAGUGACUUCAUUCUGUUGAUCAGUUUAUUGGAACCUGCCACUUCUCAGAUCCCUGUCUGAGCUGUUUAAUCACCUCCUUGGCCAGACUCAAGGCGGUGGCUGUCCCCGAACAACACACCU
rnacentral:lncRNA from 1 species